rnacentral:rRNA from 1 species
UACGUAGGGUGCAAGCGUUAAUCGGAAUUACUGGGCGUAAAGCGUGCGCAGGCGGUUGUGCAAGACCGAUGUGAAAUCCCCGGGCUUAACCUGGGAAUGGCAUUGGUGACUGCACGGCUAGAGUGUGUCAGGGGGGGGUAGAAUUCCACGUGUAGCAGUGAAAUGCGUAGAGAUGUGGAGGAAUACCGAUGGCGAAGGCAGCCCCCUGGGAUAACACUGACGCUCAUGCACGAAAGCGUGGGGAGCAAACAGG